UGGGGUAUGGUCGUAAUUGGUUAACGGGUCUGACUCUAAAUCAGAAAUUCUGGGUUCGAGUCCCAGUACCCCGA
rnacentral:tRNA from 1 species